rnacentral:rRNA from 1 species
UCGGGAAUUUUGGGCAAUGGGGGAAACCCUGACCCAGCAACGCCGCGUGAAGGAUGAAGUAUUUCGGUAUGUAAACUUCGAAAGAAUAGGAAGAAUUAAUGACGGUACUAUUUAUAAGGUCCGGCUAACUACGUGCCAGCAGCCGCGGUAAUACGUAGGGACCAAGCGUUGUUCGGAUUUACUGGGCGUAAAGGGCGCGUAGGCGGCAUGACAAGUCACUUGUGAAAUCUCCGGGCUUAACCCGGAACUGCCAAGUGAUACUGUCGCGCUAGAGUGCGGAAGGGGCAAUCGGAAUUCUCGGUGUAGCGGUGAAAUGCGUAGAUAUCGAGAGGAACACCUGAGGUGAAGACGGGUUGCUGGGCCGACACUGACGCUGAGUGCGCGAAAGCCAGGGGAGCAAACGGGAUUAGAUACCCCCGUAGUCC